AUUCGGACACCGACUCUUUCUCGCUCGUCGUUACGAUUCAACCGCGUCGCGUAUACUCGUCGAUUCGUCGUCGAUCGAGGACGUCGCGUUCUCGUCGAUCGACCGUCCACUCGUGUCUCUCCAGUACGUCAGUGCUUCUUGUCCAGCUGGACCAGUGACUGUCGGUGCCGUUGUUGUUGUUUGUUGUUGCUCUGUUGUUCGCCGUUCAUACAUGCCGAUUAUUGUUUCCUGCGAAUACGCGCUAUUAGUGAUAGAUAUCUGGUGGUGGUGAGCAUCGAUCGACGUGAACGAACAGUGAUCAGUGUUGAAAUCGAGGGAGACACUGAAUCCUUUGGGAAAUUUCGGAUCUUUUGGAGGGGAUCUUCGCCGAUUUCUGCCAGCCUCGUCCUGCCCGGCUUUCCUUCCUGCUGUCAGAGUCAUCCAGAGUGUCAAGACGCCACACCGUAU